GUCCACGCCGUAAACGAUGAUAACUAGCUGUCCGGGUACUUGGUAUCUGGGUGGCGCAGCUAACGCAUUAAGUUAUCCGCCUGGGGAGUACGGUCGCAAGAUUAAAACUCAAAGGAAUUGACGGGGCCCCGCACAAGCAGCGGAGCAUGCGGCUUAAUUCGACGCAACGCGAAGAACCUUACCAAGGCUUGACAUAUACAGGAAUAUGGCAGAGAUGUCAUAGCCGCAAGGUCUGUAUACAGGUGGUGCAUGGUUGUCGU
rnacentral:rRNA from 1 species